UACGUAGGUGGCAAGCGUUAUUCGGAUUUAUUGGGCGUAAAGGGAACGCAGGCGGUCUAUUAAGUCUGAUGUGAAAGCCUUCGGCUUAACCGGAGUAGUGCAUUGGGAACUGGGAGACUUGAGUGCAGAAGAGGAGAGUGGAACUCCAUGUGUAGCGGUGAAAUGCGUAGAUAUAUGGAGGAACACCGGUGGCGAAAGCGGCUCUCUGGCCUGUAACUGACACUGAGGCUCGAAAGCGUGGGGAGCAAACAGG
rnacentral:rRNA from 1 species